rnacentral:snRNA from 1 species
CGGACGGUAUGUCAGCUU